rnacentral:rRNA from 1 species
UACGAAGGGGGCUAGCGUUGCUCGGAAUCACUGGGCGUAAAGGGUGCGUAGGCGGGUCUUUUAAGUCAGGGGUGAAAUCCUGGAGCUCAACUCCAGAACUGCCUUUGAUACUGAGGAUCUUGAGUUCGGGGAGAGGUGAGUGGAACUGCGAGUGUAGAGGUGAAAUUCGUAGAUAUUCGCAAGAACACCAGUGGCGAAGGCGGCUCACUGGCCCGAUACUGACGCUGAGGCACGAAAGCGUGGGGAGCAAACAGGG